rnacentral:rRNA from 1 species
GAGUUUGAUCGUGGCUCAGAGCGAACGCUGGCGGCAGGCCUAACACAUGCAAGUCGAACGGACCCUUCGGGGUUAGUGGCGGACGGGUGAGUAACACGUGGGAACGUGCCUUUAGGUUCGGAAUAGCUCCUGGAAACGGGUGGUAAUGCCGAAAUGUGCCCUUCGGGGGAAAGAUUUAUCGCCUUUAGAGCGGCCCGCGUCUGAUUAGCUAGUUGGCGAGGUAACGGCUCACCAAGGCGACGAUCAGUAGCUGGUCUGAGAGGAUGACCAGCCACACUGGGACUGAGACACGGCCCAGACUCCUACGGGAGGCAGCAGUGGGGAAUCUUGCGCAAUGGGCGAAAGCCUGACGCAGCCAUGCCGCGUGAAUGAUGAAGGUCUUAGGAUUGUAAAAUUCUUUCACCGGGGACGAUAAUGACGGUACCCGGAGAAGAAGCCCCGGCUAACUUCGUGCCAGCCGCCGCCGUAAU